CAGGCUGGGACACUAUUCCCACUAAACGACAUUGUCAUAAAUGGAGUUACUGUCCCCACGAUUAGUCUGAGGGACUCUGCGUACCCUCUUUCACCUUGGUUUAUCCUGAUCUCAGAGGCCCUGGAAAAGGACGGUUUAAUUUCUCUCUCAGCAGGUGUAGAAUGGUGACUGAAUGUGCAUUUGACAGAUUGAAAUCCCACUGGCGAUGCCUAGAGACCCAUUUGGAUGCCAGUGUCAUCAAUGCUGUCUGCAUUACUGUGGCUUGCUGCGCUCUUCACAAUCUUUGUGAAGCCCAAGGUCACCCAUGACAGCAGGGGCCCGCUGAGCCAGUGCACUCAGUCAGACAAUGCAGCUAGAGCUGGCUGCACCAGGGCAACAGAGACCAGGGAUGCUCUGUGCGCCCACAUCAUAGACUUGCAUGGGCCAAUGGAGGAGGGAGAAUAGUACCUUUAUGAAUGUGCUCAUGCAGUGUUUGGCAUACAUUAGGUAAGUGGGGGCAGGGAGUUGAGAGCCAUGCAUUGUACUUAUGAAUAACUUGACCACUUAUGAAAUAAGGGAAGGAGGGUAAAACUACAGAUUAAGGUAUCGGGACUGACAAAUACAUCCUGUUUGCAUACAACUUCGAAGUGGCCACUUAUCGUGUGUUUAUUAUUUGAAACACAUGUUCUGUGAUGUGAUGCAAUGAGGGUAAUAUGAUUUCUUAAUAAAAUAAAAACCUUUCUUUUUGAACACUUCUUAGAAAGACACAAUAUUAACCCUCGCCAGGCAGACCAGCGGCCACUAGCACACCAAAACCAGUCAGAGCAAAACCCUUAACACAAUCAGGAACUGAGUGCACAAACACGUGCAAAUAACGAAACAAUUUCCAAGACAGAAUGCUAUAGUGUAGCAUGUCCCUGGCCCCCAUUCUCCUUUCCCUUCAUUGCAUGUUUGACAGGCACUGGCACCGGGGCAGGUGGUGUCCAUGGGGGAGAGGUUGUUCGGUCUGGGGCACGUUUGGCCCAUCCAUCCGCUGAUGGGGCCAAAUUGCAUGGCCCACCCACUGUUCCUGGUUCAUCAUCCCAGGGAGGGGACUCAGGCUGGUGGGCAGGCGCAGCGGGAACCUGCAGUCUGGCAGCUAUUAGUGAAAGCAGCUGCUCAAACGAUUCUUUUGCUGUGCUCUAUCUUCCUCCUUUAACUGACAUUCCUCUUCCAGGAACUGGGGAACAAGUGUCUGCUCUUGUGCAGAAAUCCUGCCCUCAGGCUGUGCAGCCAGCCGGAGCCUUUCCACUUGCUGUAAGUCCCCCUCUCUUUGCUGUUGGCCCUGUCCAGAAUACCAGCCAAAAGUCCAUCACAGAAAUGCUUCCUCUCAGACCAGUCCAUGACUGUAUGGUGACCCAGGCUUCUCCUCGCUUGCGGGCGAUCUGUCAAGGUACUCUGGUCUAUAGAGGUCAGUGGGCCUGAAAGCAGCCAGGACACACAAGGUGGUUGUUGUGCCUCAGACCAUGAGCGAGAAAAACGUCUUUUGGAAUUUCAGGGACAUAAAAAGUUACUUUGCAAAACACUCCUUCAAUAUAUUGUUAGCGGGAUGUGUCAGCCCACAGAAGCUCCCUGGACAGCGCUGCGUUAAACAGCAGUGAAAGAUGUGACAGAGAAUGGUGUUCCACAUUUUGGAAGACAUGCCAGUUCUUGUGGUUCCCAAGUGGCAAAGAGAGGUUUUAGUCCAAGCUGCCAGUGGAAGCCACUGUGCCACUGACGGAUUGAAAUGAAUGACGAGUGAACAGCUCAUCUAUGAAUGGAGUGGGACGGACAGCUACUGAGGGGGCCCUGAAAACAGGCCUUUCCCUGAAAUGUGACUCCUUAUCUGGAAUUCCUGCUACAGGCUAAGUUUGCAGCUACAGCAUCUGGGACUGAGUCAAAAUUCAUGGGGGAAAUCAACUGGAUGCUGCGUUCUGGUCCCCUGCUUUGCAAUGUAUAGAUGCCCAGGGAUUUUAAGGUUGCCCUUGAGUCCCUAAGAGUAUGGAGAGACUCAUCCAUUUUGGCAGCGAAUAACUUUGGACCUUCAAAGGACAGAUCCUCAGCAGCUGACUGGACCUCCCAGGGGAACCUUGAGAGAAGUAGCCAAGAUGCACAGUGCAUGACCCCAGAUGUUGUGAUAGAUCGUGAAGCUGUGCCUGCAGAGUCAAUGAAGUCUGUAGCUCUGUCAUGAUGAUGAGAUGGCAUUCGGCAGAUAUUAGCAUUGAACUACUCUUUUGGGGGGGGGUAAACUCAAGAAAUUCUGACAUUUUUGAGAAAAUGAUGUAUGUGUAUUUGGACAAUAGGGCCUCAUAACUGGCUCUACGAAACUGCAGUGCUGAGGAUGAAUACACCUUGUGGCCGAAGAGGUCCAGCCUCUUCCAUUCUUUGUCAUGGGGGGUUGUUGUUUUCUCCUCUUGUUAACAGCUUCCACUGCAAGCGAGUUUGGUGUGAGUGUGUGUGGGGGGUGCAAGUAAAAACAACUCCUUUCGAUGGAACAUAGUAUUUUUGUCGGAUCUUUUGCAAGAUGGGGGUGCACUAGCUGGUGUCUGCCAGAUGGUUUUGGCAGGCUCCAUAAUAGCAUCAUUUGGGAAUGAUAUCUUCAUCGACGUAGAUGUCUGCAGUAUGUCAAGUAGUUUGUUGUGAUUCAGGUACCUCUUCUAGUGAUAGAAGGACUCUACCACCCUUUUGAAGGUCCUAGAAUUGCUUGAAAUCAUCCCCUGUGGUGGGGGUGGGGGCAUUAUAGUUUUGUCUGAGGACGAAGAUGACAGGCUCACUGGUGAUAAGGCUUCCUGAUUGGAGAUUUCCUGUCUCCUCAGUCACCUCCUCUUAUGUUUCUGAGGUUGCUGGGAUAGAUGAUGAUAAAGACCAUGGUGCUCUUGAUCUUGUGGGCUAGGAAGCCUUCGAUGUUCGCCCUGUAUAGUGCCCAUGGGUCCCAGUAGGGCCAAUUUGGUGAGAAUGACAUAGGGGUCGGUGCCCAUGGGUUCCCAUAUCUGGUACCUGCCUCCAUGGAUGAGUGGUACUCUGAUGGGAUGGUCCCGGUUUGGGUGAGAAGUGAUGGAUUGUAUAUAUCACCCCUUCAUCCUCGUCGUCAUCAUCACUAGAGAGGAGGGGAGCCGACCUGGGUGGAGUCAAUCAGCUCGGUAUUGAUCAGGAUGGAGUGCCAUCUGUACCGAGGAGCGGAGAGUUCGGUGUCGAUGAGAUUAGGAGGUCUCGAUGUCUCAGGAACUGGUGCGGUCCCGUGAGCAUCGGUACCAAUGUCGGUGUUGCUGGUGGUGCAGGAGAGUGAGUAGUAGCAGCUGGUGCCGAGGGUCUUGUGCUGUGCGGCAUAGGUGCGGCAGGUGGUGUCACUGUGCUGCUCGGUGCUGAGUGCCGCUUCAGCUCCGUGGGUACCGAAGUAGCAGGUUUCACUUUGCCCUGUGGGCUCUCUUCAAGCCUGCCUGCUUCGGGUCUUCUGCUCUCUGGGAACUCACUGUACUGGAGCUUCCCGGCACAAGUUCUGACGAGCUUGGUGCCAUCGGUACCGAGACAGACUUGGCGAUAAAGUCUGUCUUGGUGAUAUUACUUGGUAAUAAUGAUAAAACUAUCUAAUAACUAAGUCUACUACCACGAAAACUAUCUAAUCUACAGGUAAGUGAGGCGCUGCUGAUCGUCCUGACUCAAGCCUCAGUUUCCCCAUCUGAAAAAAAGAGUUACCUGAAUUGUAACGGUUGUUCUUCGAGAUGCAAUGCAGUCAUGGAUUCCACAUAGGUGUGCACACACCCAGUGCACCGGCACCGGAGAAUUUUGCUUUGCCGUACCUGCAGAGGGGCAGUGUUCACGCCUCAUGGCCAUAGCCCCCUCCCUGGCUAUACGAGGCAGCACUGCCCCAACUCCAGUGCAGAGGGAAUGGAAAGUGAUUGUGGAAACAUGUCUGCAUCACAUCCUGAAGAACAACAGUGACAAGACAAGCAGGUAAUCCAUUUUUCUUCUUCAAGUAGAUGCAGCCAUGUAUUGCACGUAGGUGACUUUCAAGCAGCACUUGCAGGAGGUGGGGCUCAGAGUCUAUUCAAACCAGGAUGGCAGGUCCACCUUCCCAAAGUCUGCCUCUGCUCUGGAUGCUACAGUACUACCAUAAUGGUUCAGAAAAGUAUGUACCAACAACGAAGGGGCAGCCCUGCAAACAUCCAACAUUGAAACGUCACUUAAACGCCUUUGACGUAGCCUGUGGCUCUCGCAGAAUGAGCUCAAACUCUUUGCGGGGACAGAACUAUUUCGUAAGCUGUCUUGAUACAGGAAGUUAUCCCCCCCAGGGACAGUCUGUGAAGAGAUUGCUUGUCCCCUCAUUGGGCUGCGUAAGGCACAAAUGAGGUUCUGUCCAGGUAAAAGGGCAGGCAUCACCUCCUGUGUGAAGACAUUACUGCCUCAGGGCUGAAUGUGGCUUAAAGAAAGAACACAGGGACGUACAUCGCCUGGCUCAACUGUAAUGGAGAGACCGCUUCGAUGAAAGCUUCGCUUGCAGCCGCAGUCACUUUGUAUUUGGAGAAUUGCGCGUAAGGAGGAUCUGCCAUCAGAGCCUGCAACUCACACACUCGCAGACGUGAUUGCCACCAGGAUCACUGUUUUUUGACACAAAAAAGAAAGACAAGGAUGCCCGAAGGUUGAACGGAGGUGCCAGAUGAGGCGAAGCCGCUAAGGCCAGAAAGGAACUGGUUCUCGCACUGGCGCGUGGCGACGGACUCUUUUGAAGAACCUUGUUACCAUGGUUUGGAAAAUACCGAUCUCCAUCGAUGGGUGCAUGAAGUGCCAAAAUCGACACCAGAUGCACCCUCAACAACCUAAAUACCAGACCCGAUGCCUGAAGAUGUAACAGGUACAUCAAGAUGUCCUGGAUAUCAGCCAGCUUUGGUGGAACUCUGUGGACCAACAACCAUAUGAAAAAAUGCUUCCAUUGGCCAAACAGGUUUUCCUGCUGUUGAGUAGAACCUGCCUCUGAACAUUGCUCUUCCUCCUCAUUUAACCACAGAGCAGCCACACGGCGAGCUGCAGAGAGCUGAUCCUGGGAUGCAAAAUCUGACCAUGAUGCUGAGUCAGAAGGUCGGGAUGAAGAGGACGGGACAUGGGAGGCUGAAAACACAAGAAGGUCGGAGAAGCAACAUAGCCUCGGCCAUGGUGGAGCAAGGAAGAUGACCUUGGCACAGUCCAAUUUCAGUCUGAGAAUGACCUAAGGGAUGAUCGGAAUCGGAAGGAAAGUAUACAGGAGUACCAGAACACUCCUUGCCUAAACACAGCCUGCACCUCAUGCAAGGAUCACUAUUAGCAAUCGCUCCGCACACUCAAUGGCAGUGCUUGAACCGUGGUGAGGACAUCACACAGAGCAAUAAGUAUCCCAACU